rnacentral:rRNA from 1 species
UACGGGGGGGGGAAGCGUUGUUCGGAAUUACUGGGCGUAAAGGGCUCGUAGGCGGCCAACUAAGUCAUACGUGAAAUCCCUCAGCUUAACUGGGGAACUGCGUGUGAUACUGGAUGGCUUGGAUGUGGGAGAGGGAUGCGGAAUUCCAGGUGUAGCGGUGAAAUGCGUAGAUAUCUGGAGGAACACCGGUGGCGAAGGCGGCAUCCUGGACCAUUAUUGACGCUGAGGAGCGAAAGCCAGGGGAGCAAACGGG